rnacentral:rRNA from 1 species
AACGAACGCUGGCGGCAGGCCUAACACAUGCAAGUCGAGCGAGGACUUCGGUUCUAGCGGCGGACGGGUGAGUAACGCGUGGGAAUGUGCCCUUCUCUACGGAAUAGCCCUGGGAAACUGGGGGUAAUACCGUAUACGCCCUAUUGGGGAAAGAUUUAUCGGAGAAGGAUCAGCCCGCGUUGGAUUAGGUAGUUGGUGGGGUAAUGGCCUACCAAGCCGACGAUCCAUAGCUGGUUUGAGAGGAUGAUCAGCCACACUGGGACUGAGACACGGCCCAGACUCCUACGGGAGGCAGCAGUGGGGAAUCUUAGACAAUGGGGGCAACCCUGAUCUAGCCAUGCCGCGUGAGUGAUGAAGGCCUUAGGGUUGUAAAGCUCUUUCAGCUGGGAAGAUAAUGACGGUACCAGCAGAAGAAGCCCCGGCUAACUCCGUG